UACGUAGGGGGGCGAGCGUUGUCCGGAGUUACUGGGCGUAAAGCGCACGCAGGCGGUCUGCUAAGUUUGGAGUGACAGUUGGUGGCUUAACUGCCAAAGUGCUUCGAAAACUGACAGACUUGAGGGCUUCAGAGGGACACGGAAUUCCGGGUGGAGUGGUGAAAUGCGUAGAGAUCCGGAGGAACACCAAAGGCGAAGGCGGCCUGCUGGGCAGUUACUGACACUGAGGCGCGACAGCGUGGGGGAGCAAACAGG
rnacentral:rRNA from 1 species